rnacentral:rRNA from 1 species
UACGUAGGGUGCAAGCGUUGUCCGGAAUUAUUGGGCGUAAAGAGCUCGUAGGUGGCGGGUCACGGUCGGGUGUGAAAGCCCGGGCUUAACUCCGGGUCUGCAUUCGAUACGGGUCUGCUGGGGUCCGGCAGGGGAGACUGGAAUUCCUGGUGUAGCGGUGAAAUGCGCAGAUAUCAGGAGGAACACCGAUGGCGAAGGCAGGUCUCCUGGGUCCACUACUGACGUGAGAAAGCGAAAGCAUGGGGGAGCGAACAGG